rfam:Lysobacter enzymogenes strain C3 genome.
CCCGCCGAGGGGCGCUGCGACCGUGACGGACACGGCCAGGCUCGGCGAGGCCCAGGUCCCAACGGCGCCCGGUUUGA